rnacentral:snRNA from 1 species
UUGCUUCAGCAGCACAUAUACUAAGAUUGGCACCAUACCGAGAAGAUUAGCAUGGCCCUUGCAUAAGAAUGACAUGCAAAUUCAUGAAGAAUUCUUUACUGCA